rnacentral:rRNA from 1 species
AUGCACGUGGCAACACCAAGGCGCAUUAAUUUGGUCAAAGCAGUCCUCACGGCCAUUGCUAUAUACCACCUCACACCUUUUGACCUCCCGGUGGAAGUUAGGAAAAAGAUUGAUAGUCUGAGGUGCGCCUAUCUAUGGGCGGGUUGCGAUACGGUGACAGGAGGCAAAUGUAAAGUUAACUGGAACCUUGUGUGCAAGCCCAAGAUCUAUGGGGGGCUGGGUGUGUUAGACCUGGAAAAGUUUGCUUCUGCUCUGCGUCUUCGUUGGCUUUGGUUCGAAUGGGCUGAUCCGCCAAAAACUUGGGCUGGGAUGGGUACGCCAUGUACUGAUAGUGAUAAAGAUCUUUUCGCGGCGGCCACAAGGGUGUGCAUCGGAGAUGGUAAGACAGCAAAAUUCUGGAAAUCCUCUUGGCUAGAUGGUCUUAGGCCCAGAGACAUAGCACCUAAGAUUUUUGAGAUAUCAAAAAGGAAGGCAUGUGUGGUUAGUAAUGCGUUGGACAAUCACUCUUGGAUUCACCAUUAA